CGGUGCUCUGUCUCCGUGGAUUUUCAUCAUUCCUGGUUCCCUGCUAAAUGUGUGAAUCCUACCAUUGUUCUUCAUUGUGUUGCUUUUUGAAUGAUACGUCUCAAAAUAGUCUUUGUUAAAUUUCAUUGAAUUGUCAGAUACUUCUCCCAUUGAUUCGAUUUUCCCAAAACGUUUCAAAUCGACUUCUUCUGUCUUGUGUUGUAACAUGAAAGAUGAGGAUGUGGGUCCAGCUGAGUCUUUCAUUGGUCCAGAAAGUAGGUAUCCGAGUUUUGAUUCUACUGCGGUCGGGCCUGGUCCUCGGAUAACUGUGUCUUCUACGAUAUCCCAGUAGUAAUCCGAACCUAUUAAAAAUGAAAUCCUGAAUUUAUCCAUGUCGCUAACAGGGUGCGCUAAUGUAAGUCCACUGAGGUAAGGCAGUUUAGCAGCAUUGUAUGGCAUGCGAUUGUGUAACGGGGCUGCGAUAGUAGGGACAAUAAAUACUUCCAUUGGUAUUUUCUUCCCAUUCUGAGUUUGUAAAUCUAUUACGGCAAUGUCCAAAUUGCGUAUAUUUCUGUUUUCAUCUCCAAAUGCUG
rnacentral:lncRNA from 1 species